rnacentral:rRNA from 1 species
UACGUAGGGGGCAAGCGUUGUCCGGAUUUAUUGGGCGUAAAGAGCGUGUAGGCGGCCUGAAAGGUCAGCUGUGAAAACUCGAGGCUCAACCUCGAGAUGUCGGCGGAAACUAUCUGGCUAGAGUCCGGAAGAGGAGAGUGGAAUUCCUGGUGUAGCGGUGAAAUGCGCAGAUAUCAGGAGGAACACCGGUGGCGAAGGCGGGUCUCUGGGCCGAUACUGACGCUGAGGAGCGAAAGCGUGGGGAGCGAACAGG